rnacentral:rRNA from 1 species
AUUACAUUCGUAAUAUCGAAAUGUCGUGUAUAGGUUUUAUUAUUAUUGAUAUAAUAUUAUUAAAUAAUUGUAUUUAAAUAUACAGCCACAGAAGGUGCCAGCCCUGUUGUUUAAUAAUAUUUAUCAAAUUUAUAAAACUUUAGAGUCGUGUUGCUUGGAAGUGCAGCGCAAAGUUGGUGAUAAACAUCAUCUAAGGCUAAAUAUUCCUAUGAAUCCGAUAGCGAACAAGUACUGUGAAGGAAAAUUGCAAAGUACUCCGGAGAGAGAGUUAAAGAGGACGUGAAACCGAUACGAUGGAAGCAUACAGAGCCAGUUGCACUAUUAUUAAUUAAUAUUAA